UACGGGGGGAGCAAGCGUUGUUCGGAUUUACUGGGCGUAAAGGGCGCGUAGGCGGCCACCGCAAGUCGACUGUGAAAUCUCCGGGCUUAACCCGGAAAGGUCAGCCGAUACUGCGGGGCUAGAGUGCAGAAGGGGCAACUGGAAUUCUCGGUGUAGCGGUGAAAUGCGUAGAUAUGACAUAGAACACCAAUUGCGAAGGCAGCUGGCUACACAUAUAUUGACACUGAGGCACGAAAGCGUGGGGAUCAAACAGG
rnacentral:rRNA from 1 species